rnacentral:tRNA from 1 species
UUUUUUAUAGUAUAUAUAUUACAUUUACCUUCCAAGUAAAAAAUCUUAAAAAAG